GACAGAGGGUGCAAACGUUGCUCGGAAUUACUGGGCGUAAAGCGCGUGUAGGUGGAUUGGUGUGUCAGAUGUGAAAGCCCUGGGCUCAACCCAGGAACUGCACCUGAAACUACCAGUCUUGAGUGGUGGAGAGGGAAGUGGAAUUCCUGGUGUAGAGGUGAAAUUCGUAGAUAUUCGGAAGAACACCAGUGGCGAAGGCGGCUCACUGGCCCGGUACUGACGCUGAGGUGCGAAAGCGUGGGGAGCAAACAGG
rnacentral:rRNA from 1 species